AAGAAGAAAUCAGCGAAAAACAUGCAUGAAACGAGGGAAAUUGGUUGUUUUUUUGUUUUCGUUUGUUUUGUUCUUCUUCUUCUUGUUGCUGCUGACAAGUAUUCGAUGUAAGUUUUGUUGUUUUAGCAGGCGUUGCUUUGCUAGAAGGAGAGAAACGU
rnacentral:ribozyme from 15 species